rnacentral:rRNA from 1 species
GGCCCCGCACAAGCGGCGGAGCAUGCGGAUUAAUUCGAUGCAACGCGAAGAACCUUACCAAGGCUUGACAUAUAGAGGAAAAAGUGCAGAAACUGCACUCCCCGCAAGGUCUCUAUACAGGUGGUGCAUGGUUGUCGUCAGCUCGUGUCGUGAGAUGUUGGGUUAAGUCCCGCAACGAGCGCAACCCUCGUCCUAUGUUGCCAGCACGUAAUGGUGGGAACUCUAAGGAGACUGCCGGUGAUAAACCGGAGGAAGGUGGGGAUGACGUCAAGUCAUCAUGGCCCUUAUGUGUAGGGCUACACACGUGCUACAAUGGACGAUACAGAGGGUUGCCAACCCGCGAGGGGAGCUAA